UUAAGCGACUAAGCGUACACGGUGGAUGCCCUGGCAGUCAGAGGCGAUGAAGGACGUGCUAAUCUGCGAUAAGCGUCGGUAAGGUGAUAUGAACCGUUAUAACCGGCGAUUUCCGAAUGGGGAAACCCAGUGUGUUUCGACACACUAUCAUUAACUGAAUCCAUAGGUUAAUGAGGCGAACCGGGGGAACUGAAACAUCUAAGUACCCCGAGGAAAAGAAAUCAACCGAGAUUCCCCCAGUAGCGGCGAGCGAACGGGGAGCAGCCCAGAGCCUGAAUCAGUGUGUGUGUUAGUGGAAGCGUCUGGAAAGGCGUGCGAUACAGGGUGACAGCCCCGUACACAAAAAUGCACAUGCUGUGAGCUCGAUGAGUAGGGCGGGACACGUGGUAUCCUGUCUGAAUAUGGGGGGACCAUCCUCCAAGGCUAAAUACUCCUGACUGACCGAUAGUGAACCAGUACCGUGAGGGAAAGGCGAAAAGAACCCCGGCGAGGGGAGUGAAAAAGAACCUGAAACCGUGUACGUACAAGCAGUGGGAGCACGCUUAGGCGUGUGACUGCGUACCUUUUGUAUAAUGGGUCAGCGACUUAUAUUCUGUAGCAAGGUUAACCGAAUAGGGGAGCCGAAGGGAAACCGAGUCUUAACUGGGCGUUAAGUUGCAGGGUAUAGACCCGAAACCCGGUGAUCUAGCCAUGGGCAGGUUGAAGGUUGGGUAACACUAACUGGAGGACCGAACCGACUAAUGUUGAAAAAUUAGCGGAUGACUUGUGGCUGGGGGUGAAAGGCCAAUCAAACCGGGAGAUAGCUGGUUCUCCCCGAAAGCUAUUUAGGUAGCGCCUCGUGAAUUCAUCUCCGGGGGUAGAGCACUGUUUCGGCAAGGGGGUCAUCCCGACUUACCAACCCGAUGCAAACUGCGAAUACCGGAGAAUGUUAUCACGGGAGACACACGGCGGGUGCUAACGUCCGUCGUGAAGAGGGAAACAACCCAGACCGCCAGCUAAGGUCCCAAAGUCAUGGUUAAGUGGGAAACGAUGUGGGAAGGCCCAGACAGCCAGGAUGUUGGCUUAGAAGCAGCCAUCAUUUAAAGAAAGCGUAAUAGCUCACUGGUCGAGUCGGCCUGCGCGGAAGAUGUAACGGGGCUAAACCAUGCACCGAAGCUGCGGCAGCGACGCUUAUGCGUUGUUGGGUAGGGGAGCGUUCUGUAAGCCUGUGAAGGUGUGCUGUGAGGCAUGCUGGAGGUAUCAGAAGUGCGAAUGCUGACAUAAGUAACGAUAAAGCGGGUGAAAAGCCCGCUCGCCGGAAGACCAAGGGUUCCUGUCCAACGUUAAUCGGGGCAGGGUGAGUCGACCCCUAAGGCGAGGCCGAAAGGCGUAGUCGAUGGGAAACAGGUUAAUAUUCCUGUACUUGGUGUUACUGCGAAGGGGGGACGGAGAAGGCUAUGUUGGCCGGGCGACGGUUGUCCCGGUUUAAGCGUGUAGGCUGGUUUUCCAGGCAAAUCCGGAAAAUCAAGGCUGAGGCGUGAUGACGAGGCACUACGGUGCUGAAGCAACAAAUGCCCUGCUUCCAGGAAAAGCCUCUAAGCAUCAGGUAACAUCAAAUCGUACCCCAAACCGACACAGGUGGUCAGGUAGAGAAUACCAAGGCGCUUGAGAGAACUCGGGUGAAGGAACUAGGCAAAAUGGUGCCGUAACUUCGGGAGAAGGCACGCUGAUAUGUAGGUGAAGUCCCUCGCGGAUGGAGCUGAAAUCAGUCGAAGAUACCAGCUGGCUGCAACUGUUUAUUAAAAACACAGCACUGUGCAAACACGAAAGUGGACGUAUACGGUGUGACGCCUGCCCGGUGCCGGAAGGUUAAUUGAUGGGGUUAGCGCAAGCGAAGCUCUUGAUCGAAGCCCCGGUAAACGGCGGCCGUAACUAUAACGGUCCUAAGGUAGCGAAAUUCCUUGUCGGGUAAGUUCCGACCUGCACGAAUGGCGUAAUGAUGGCCAGGCUGUCUCCACCCGAGACUCAGUGAAAUUGAACUCGCUGUGAAGAUGCAGUGUACCCGCGGCAAGACGGAAAGACCCCGUGAACCUUUACUAUAGCUUGACACUGAACAUUGAGCCUUGAUGUGUAGGAUAGGUGGGAGGCUUUGAAGUGUGGACGCCAGUCUGCAUGGAGCCGACCUUGAAAUACCACCCUUUAAUGUUUGAUGUUCUAACGUGGACCCGUGAUCCGGGUUGCGGACAGUGUCUGGUGGGUAGUUUGACUGGGGCGGUCUCCUCCUAAAGAGUAACGGAGGAGCACGAAGGUUGGCUAAUCCUGGUCGGACAUCAGGAGGUUAGUGCAAUGGCAUAAGCCAGCUUGACUGCGAGCGUGACGGCGCGAGCAGGUGCGAAAGCAGGUCAUAGUGAUCCGGUGGUUCUGAAUGGAAGGGCCAUCGCUCAACGGAUAAAAGGUACUCCGGGGAUAACAGGCUGAUACCGCCCAAGAGUUCAUAUCGACGGCGGUGUUUGGCACCUCGAUGUCGGCUCAUCACAUCCUGGGGCUGAAGUAGGUCCCAAGGGUAUGGCUGUUCGCCAUUUAAAGUGGUACGCGAGCUGGGUUUAGAACGUCGUGAGACAGUUCGGUCCCUAUCUGCCGUGGGCGCUGGAGAACUGAGGGGGGCUGCUCCUAGUACGAGAGGACCGGAGUGGACGCAUCACUGGUGUUCGGGUUGUCAUGCCAAUGGCACUGCCCGGUAGCUAAAUGCGGAAGAGAUAAGUGCUGAAAGCAUCUAAGCACGAAACUUGCCCCGAGAUGAGUUCUCCCUGACCCUUUAAGGGUCCUGAAGGAACGUUGAAGACGACGACGUUGAUAGGCCGGGUGUGUAAGCGCAGCGAUGCGUUGAGCUAACCGGUACUAAUGAACCGUGAGGCUUAACCUU
rnacentral:rRNA from 1 species